ACUCCUACGGGAGGCAGCAGUGAGGAAUAUUGGACAAUGGGCGCAAGCCUGAUCCAGCCAUGCCGCGUGCAGGAAGACUGCCCUAUGGGUUGUAAACUGCUUUUAUACAGGAAGAAACACUCCCUCGAGUAGGGAGCUUGACGGUACUGUAAGAAUAAGGAUCGGCUAACUCCGUGCCAGCAGCCGCGGUAAUACGGAGGGUGCGAGCGUUAUCCGGAUUUAUUGGGUUUAAAGGGUCCGUAGGCGGGUUAAUAAGUCAGUGGUGAAAUCCCAUCGCUUAACGAUGGAACUGCCAUUGAUACUGUUAGUCUUGAAUGAGGGUGCAGUGGUUGGAAUGUGUAGUGUAGCGGUGAAAUGCAUAGAUAUUACACAGAACACCGAUUGCGAAGGCAGAUCACUAACCCUAAAUUGACGCUGAGGGACGAAAGCGUGGGGAGCGAACAGGAUUAGAUACCCUGUAGACUGUC
rnacentral:rRNA from 1 species